rnacentral:rRNA from 1 species
GGUUAAGCGACUAAGCGUACACGGUGGAUGCCCUGGCAGUCAGAGGCGAUGAAGGACGUGCUAAUCUGCGAAAAGCGUCGGUAAGGUGAUAUGAACCGUUACAGCCGGCGAUGUCCGAAUGGGGAAACCCAGUGCAAUUCGUUGCACUAUCGUUAACUGAAUACAUAGGUUAACGAAGCGAACCGGGGGAACUGAAACAUCUAAGUACCCCGAGGAAAAGAAAUCAACCGAGAUUCCCCCAGUAGCGGCGAGCGAACGGGGAGCAGCCCAGAGUCUGAAUCAGCUUGUGUGUUAGUGGAACGGUCUGGAAAGUCCGACGGUACAGGGUGAUAGUCCCGUACACCAAAAUGCACAGGCUGUGAACUCGAAGAGUAGGGCGGGACACGUGGUAUCCUGUCUGAAUAUGGGGGGACCAUCCUCCAAGGCUAAAUACUCCUGACUGACCGAUAGUGAACCAGUACCGUGAGGGAAAGGCGAAAAGAACCCCGGCGAGGGGAGUGAAAAAGAACCUGAAACCGUGUACGUACAAGCAGUGGGAGCACCUUCGGGUGUGACUGCGUACCUUUUGUAUAAUGGGUCAGCGACUUAUAUUCUGUAGCAAGGUUAACCGUAUAGGGGAGCCGCAGGGAAACCGAGUCUUAACUGGGCGUUAAGUUGCAGGGUAUAGACCCGAAACCCGGUGAUCUAGCCAUGGGCAGGUUGAAGGUUGGGUAACACUAACUGGAGGACCGAACCGACUAAUGUUGAAAAAUUAGCGGAUGACUUGUGGCUGGGGGUGAAAGGCCAAUCAAACCGGGAGAUAGCUGGUUCUCCCCGAAAGCUAUUUAGGUAGCGCCUCGUGAACUCAUCUUCGGGGGUAGAGCACUGUUUCGGCUAGGGGGUCAUCCCGACUUACCAACCCGAUGCAAACUACGAAUACCGAAGAAUGUUAUCACGGGAGACACACGGCGGGUGCUAACGUCCGUCGUGAAGAGGGAAACAACCCAGACCGCCAGCUAAGGUCCCAAAGUCAUGGUUAAGUGGGAAACGAUGUGGGAAGGCACAGACAGCCAGGAUGUUGGCUUAGAAGCAGCCAUCAUUUAAAGAAAGCGUAAUAGCUCACUGGUCGAGUCGGCCUGCGCGGAAGAUGUAACGGGGCUAAACCAUGCACCGAAGCUGCGGCAGCGACACUAUGUGUUGUUGGGUAGGGGAGCGUUCUGUAAGCCUGCGAAGGUGACCUGUGAGGGUUGCUGGAGGUAUCAGAAGUGCGAAUGCUGACAUAAGUAACGAUAAAGCGGGUGAAAAGCCCGCUCGCCGGAAGACCAAGGGUUCCUGUCCAACGUUAAUCGGGGCAGGGUGAGUCGACCCCUAAGGCGAGGCCGAAAGGCGUAGUCGAUGGGAAACAGGUUAAUAUUCCUGUACUUGGUGUUACUGCGAAGGGGGGACGGAGAAGGCUAUGUUAGCCGGGCGACGGUUGUCCCGGUUUAAGCAUGUAGGCUGGUUAUCCAGGCAAAUCCGGAUAAUCAAGGCUGAGGUGUGAUGACGAGGCACUACGGUGCUGAAGUAACAAAUGCCCUGCUUCCAGGAAAAGCCUCUAAGCAUCAGGUAACAUCAAAUCGUACCCCAAACCGACACAGGUGGUCAGGUAGAGAAUACCAAGGCGCUUGAGAGAACUCGGGUGAAGGAACUAGGCAAAAUGGUGCCGUAACUUCGGGAGAAGGCACGCUGGUGUGUAGGUGAAGUCCCUGCGGAUGGAGCUGAGACCAGUCGAAGAUACCAGCUGGCUGCAACUGUUUAUUAAAAACACAGCACUGUGCAAACACGAAAGUGGACGUAUACGGUGUGACGCCUGCCCGGUGCCGGAAGGUUAAUUGAUGGGGUUAUCCGUAAGGAGAAGCUCUUGAUCGAAGCCCCGGUAAACGGCGGCCGUAACUAUAACGGUCCUAAGGUAGCGAAAUUCCUUGUCGGGUAAGUUCCGACCUGCACGAAUGGCGUAAUGAUGGCCAGGCUGUCUCCACCCGAGACUCAGUGAAAUUGAACUCGCUGUGAAGAUGCAGUGUACCCGCGGCAAGACGGAAAGACCCCGUGAACCUUUACUAUAGCUUGACACUGAACAUUGAGCCUUGAUGUGUAGGAUAGGUGGGAGGCUUUGAAGCGUGGACGCCAGUCUGCGUGGAGCCAACCUUGAAAUACCACCCUUUAAUGUUUGAUGUUCUAACGUUGGCCCCUUACCGGGGUUGCGGACAGUGUCUGGUGGGUAGUUUGACUGGGGCGGUCUCCUCCCAAAGCGUAACGGAGGAGCACGAAGGUUAGCUAAUCCUGGUCGGACAUCAGGAGGUUAGUGCAAUGGCAUAAGCUAGCUUGACUGCGAGCGUGACGGCGCGAGCAGGUGCGAAAGCAGGUCAUAGUGAUCCGGUGGUUCUGAAUGGAAGGGCCAUCGCUCAACGGAUAAAAGGUACUCCGGGGAUAACAGGCUGAUACCGCCCAAGAGUUCAUAUCGACGGCGGUGUUUGGCACCUCGAUGUCGGCUCAUCACAUCCUGGGGCUGAAGUAGGUCCCAAGGGUAUGGCUGUUCGCCAUUUAAAGUGGUACGCGAGCUGGGUUUAGAACGUCGUGAGACAGUUCGGUCCCUAUCUGCCGUGGGCGCUGGAGAAUUGAGGGGGGGCUGCUCCUAGUACGAGAGGACCGGAGUGGACGCAUCACUGGUGUUCGGGUUGUCAUGCCAAUGGCACUGCCCGGUAGCUAAAUGCGGAAGAGAUAAGUGCUGAAAGCAUCUAAGCACGAAACUUGCCCCGAGAUGAGUUCUCCCUGAGACUUUAAGUCUCCUGAAGGAACGUUGAAGACGACGACGUUGAUAGGCCGGGUGUGUAAGCGCAGCGAUGCGUUGAGCUAACCGGUACUAAUGAACCGUGAGGCUUAACCUU